rnacentral:rRNA from 1 species
GACGAACGCUGGCGGCGUGCUUAACACAUGCAAGUCGAACGAAGAGCGAUGGAAGCUUGCUUCUAUCAAUCUUAGUGGCGAACGGGUGAGUAACGCGUAAUCAACCUGCCCUUCAGAGGGGGACAACAGUUGGAAACGACUGCUAAUACCGCAUACGAUCUAAUCUCGGCAUCGAGGAUGGAUGAAAGGUGGCCUCUACAUGUAAGCUAUCACUGAAGGAGGGGAUUGCGUCUGAUUAGCUAGUUGGAGGGGUAACGGCCCACCAAGGCGAUGAUCAGUAGCCGGUCUGAGAGGAUGAACGGCCACAUUGGGACUGAGACACGGCCCAGACUCCUACGGGAGGCAGCAGUAGGGAAUCUUCCGCAAUGGACGAAAGUCUGACGGAGCAACGCCGCGUGAGUGAUGACGGCCUUCGGGUUGUAAAGCUCGGUUAAUCGGGACGAAAGGCCUUCUUGCGAAUAGUGAGAAGGAUUGACGGUACCGGAAUAGAAAGCCACGGCUAACUACGUG